AGCUGAUGUUCACAAUCCAAUUCAUAUCAUGGUGAUCACCAUCUAAUUUAUCUGAGACUGGAAAAAAAUUGUCCCUCACCACGGAGCAAGCAUGGAAGAUGACGAAACAGACAGUGGGUAUGCAACAUCAGUCAACGAACACACACGGAUGCUGGAGACAGAAAGGAUGACAACCCAUGUGGAUAUAACCAGCUCACCCUCUAGUAGACAUUCCAUUAAAAACCUUAGGAAGCCAUCUUCAUUGCAAGUUAAACUUG